rnacentral:lncRNA from 1 species
CAAAGGAUGCCAUGAAUCAGAAUAUAACUUCGGCCCAAGAUAGGAAAAUGUAGUUGCCAUUAUGUGAUGACUAUAUAUUUAUAUAUAUAUAUAUAAUUCAAGAGCCAUGGUUAGGGGUUCAUGAUUUGGAUCCUAUUCACUUCCACUUUGAUCAGGCUGGGAAAGCAGCUAGUCCUUGGUCGGUUCUAGUUAAGUUGCUUCACUCAGCAGAUCUGCUAAAACAGCAGCAUGACCUGCUACUGUUAUGUGGAACUGCCCAUUUCAAAACGAGGUUAAACCAUGUCUUUUGGCUGUAGGAAGUGUUAGACAGAACCAGUGUGAGGGGAUAAAUUUAUACUCUGUGUUCUCAACAGUUUUUACAGCUUCUAGUUUGAACGAUGAAGCCAUCCAUCCUUGAAGAUGCUUCCCGACACAAAUAAAAAACCAUGCUGUUAAAAUUAUGCAAUCAGCCUAAAUGGAUAAGAAUGAGAAAAUUCAGAGACGACAAAUGCAAGAAAGAAUGUUGUCAAAAUUACCCGAUCAAGAAGAUAGAUGGAUUCUUCUUUUGGCCUAUAAGUAGUGUUGCUUCUUCCACUGACAAUUUCCAAGGCAACAACUCCAAAACUGUAAACAUCUGCUUUGUCGGUUAAAUAGCCCCGCAUUGCAUAUUCAGGUGCCAUAUAUCCACUGCAAAAUGAGAGUAUGAUUUUACACAAAUUUUCCUUUUGAAAUGAAGGAUAAACACUGGUGAUCAAAAGCAAAAAAUUCUAGUAUGUGGUUUCCAAAGUGAUAACAGUGUCACUGCUUCCUAUUUGAGCUAAACAGAAAGAUAAAUAAUGAUACAAAAAAUUAUCACAGCCAUAAGAAUUUGGGUUACCUGAAUUCUGAAGCAGUAAGAAACCAUUGACAUCCAUUCAAAAGAAAGGAAAAGCCCAUUAAGUAAAAAUCAGGAGAUAGUGACUCACUAUGUACCAGCAAUCCGAGUGCUAAUGUGGGUGUUAUCCUCUUCAUCAAGUUUGGCCAAACCAAAGUCAGAUAUUUUGGGGUUAAGAUCCUUAUCAAGUAGCACAUUUGUGGCCUUGAUGUCUCGGUGGACGAUCUUCAGCCUUGAUUCUUCAUGAAGAUAAGCCAACCCUCUUGCUAUGCCAACACAGAUCCUGUGUCUAGUUGGCCAAUCCAAUUGUAAUUGACAUUCUUCGGGGCCUAAAUCAUCAUAUCAACCAAAAGUUAGAUGUAAGAAGCACAAUCACACAAGUUCAUAUACAUGUAGUUUUAUAGCAGAAGCAAUUGAGUAAAGCACGUAAGCAGAUGUGAAAAAAAACAGACCAAACAAAGCACGAGCGAGGCUGUUAUUUUCCAUGUACUCGUAUAUCAGCAACAACUGAUUUCCUUCUAUACAACAGCCAUAGAGCUUCACAAGAUGAGGAUGUUGAAGAGCAGAAAUCAUGCCUAUCUCAUUCACAAACUCACGGUUUCCUUGUUUUGAUUUGGAAGAAAGCUGCUUCACUGCAAUUAUGGUGCCAUCGGAUAAGACGCCCUGCAUUUUGAGAAAUAAUGUCCUCUCUUCAGUAUAAAGUUUUAUGAGAACAAACUGCUUACCAAACAUCUUAAAUGCAUAAAAUGAGGGAAAACUAAUUCUUGUGCUGAAUACCUUGUAAACAGAACCAAAUCCACCUUCUCCAAUUUUGUUGGCAGCAUCAAAGUUGUUUGUUGCAGCCUUAAUUUGCCUUAAGGUAAACAAGCCAGUCUGCAGAUCUAGACCCUUUAACUCUGUAGAAGAAGCCAAGUUAGAUAAGAAAUAUAUCUAAUAAAAAGUUGCAAUCAUUUCUAAAUUCCUAAUAGUUUGAGAAGGAUUUUGAUGGAUUAUAACUGUAUCUUCUACAUCCAGAGAAAUCAACCCUGAUUAGAUACCAUGUUUUGGCAUGAAUGCCAGCAAACCAAUCCACUGCUACGACAUCAACAAUCAAAUGUUUUGAUAGACAAAUUUUUUCAUAAUCAAUACCUUGUUCCAACGUAUCUUUGCGCCUUAGGCAAUCUCUCCACCAAAGGAUACCUAUAAGCAGGAAGACAAGAAGAAUGACUCCAGCCACAAUGCCAACCACAACGCCAACAGAUAUACUACUGCUUCCAUUUUCGGUAGGAGGUAUAAAAUCUGCAAGAAAAAACAAAGUUAGAACAGAUACACAGAUGGAAUGGAUGCUUUUGGGCAAAUGAUGGCACAAAGAAAAACAAAAUCCAACCAUUAGUGAUGCUGCAAAAAGAGGCUAACAACAAAAAAUAUUUUAUCAACAUUAAUUCUUCAGAGAGUCGAAGCUAAAUAAACAUGAAAAGAUGCUCGAACUGUUGGAAAAUUUCAGAAGAGCACCACAUACAGAGCAAUGAAAUUUCCUGUAAUAUAAGUAGCAUCCAAAUAUAUAUAGAUAUAUCAAAACAUACUUGUGCUAAACCCUUCAAAAAAUAAUGAAUCAUGUCCAUGUUGGUUCCAAGUGACCUAAAGAAAAGAGGAGUUGUGCAGACUGAACCAAAUCACUUAACUAUAAUAAAUGUGUAAUUUGAGAAAAAGUAGAAGAACAAACCCUUUUACAUCCCAACUAUUCAAAAUUGUUGAACUACUAAUUUUCCUAAAAGCUUAACCUUACCCUCCUUUACUACCCGCAUGUGGAGAGACAAAUAGAAUUUGGAUUCAUAUCCAAUGGACAAAGAUAGACAAAAUUUGGAUUUUUAUUCAACAAACAAAUAAAGGAAAUGCAAAUUGCAGAGAGAAGGAUCAAACCCAGGACCUCCCCCCAAACCAAGCUUUGAAAUCAUGUUCAACUACCAAUUUUCCUAAAAGCUUAAGCUUGUAGGAUUUGGGCUCAAUAUGCAUAUCAUGCUUUUUAAUAAAAAUGAUAAAGAAAAUUCAUAAAACAAGCUCAGAAAAUGUGUGACGUACCAGGGUCCACAGAAAUAGCUGAUAUAAGAGGACCAUAAACUCCUCUAACUGGGAUACCUGUAGUCCCUUUCCCAGCCCAAUAGAAGCGAAUUUCCAAGGUAUUAUUAGUCACAACUGCAGUAAAAUAUUUUAAGAUUUCCUUGCUAACACCUCCUGCUUCAUCCUCAAUAUUGAAAUCCUUGAGAACCAACUUAUCCUGCAACAAACCACUCCAAUUACAACUGAAAUUUUCAAGGUGCUAUAAAUUGAAAUGGUGUCCCAAGAUUUCUCUAAAACUUUGUGCAAAAAAGUUGAAUUUUUAUAUAGGUUAAAGUCAAGAACUCAAAAUGGCUUGAAUCCAAAAUGCUAAAGUUUCUUGUACUUUUUAAAAUUAGAACUUUGGUUGGUGAACAUGGAAGUAAUGUGAUUCAUUACCUGAACAUAAACAUCAAACAAACGCCUACCAAGGCUGCUAUAUGUUUUGUCAUCAGUAAAGGUGAUCUCUGCAAAGUGAAGCUUUACUGUGUAGUUUCCAUUUUCCAGACAGAAUCCAUAAUAAGUGAGAGACAGGGCAGAGAGGCGUGCGGUUGUAUACAGUCCAGAAUUUUCCAUGAUGAGUCUAGACACGUUUGUCCCAAUAAAGGAGUCCGUAGGGCGGUCAUCGUCCAUGAAGUGACCUGUGCUGCUGAAUGCCCAGUUUGUUCUACUCUGAUAGAACUUUGAUGGUCCACCAGAAUCUGUGUCAUCUUCAUAUGUGGUAUUUCCAUCAACAAUUACUUCUUUUCCACCACAAUUUAUGUGCAUGGAGUAAAACUCUGGAAAAAAAACCUACAAUAGAUUGGUGAAAUUGAACAAGAAAAGAAAAAGGAUAUUUAGAAAAAGGCACAAGAAAAUACAUCCAUUAACCACCCUUCCCGAACUUUUACUUUAAUCAGCAAACUUGUGACACUGUUUUGGACUGUAUACCAAUCCAUUUUUAAUAGACCAUGUGAUCCAAUGGAAAGAUUUCAACCCCAAAUGCAUUAGCAGUACCCUAAAUGCACAGGGCAAAGCACAAGAAAGGAGAAUGCCUAUCUUGAAGAGAUUUUGAGACACGGUGUGCUGAAAUGUGGGUCGUCUACAAAGCUGGUCUGAUCAGUGUUUUAUCAACACUAGAAGCACAAAUUUUGAGUUGAAGAUUAAUCAGACUCAUCUCAAGUUAUGGAAAGUGAAAUUGAUGACAUUCUAAAAUCCAUUUAUAUUCUUCCAUUAAUUUCAUUCUUUUGUAUUUCUUAAUUAACAAUGUCAAGAUAGCAUAUGAUAUUUAAACUUACUUUUUGGGCAAUUAAAGCUUCUCAAGCACGAGACAAUUCCACUGAGAAAACAACGUAAUGCCCAGCAAAAGUCAGCAUCACAACAUCAUAUUUGAAUAUUACAUGACAAGGAAAGAAUCGUAGUGCUGAAAAAAAUUAUUGGCUUCAGAAAACAUUUAUUUAUUACAAUCCUUAAAAUGGUAAUUAGAAACUCACGAGUUAUUUCCUCCUGAUGAGCUUCCAAACAAAUUUCUGUAGAAAAUAUCACAAUAUUGAAAGUUUAGAUGCUAAACAGAUGAUUUUACACAGCAAAUAAUACAGAAAAGAAAUAUCUUAUGUUAGAUAAGAGUAUUCUUACACACUCCGUUCUUGACAUCCUCUUGAGCUUUCACUAGUAAAGUUAUUGUAUGAAAGAUCACUGCACACAGUAUUCACAGUUUAAUUCAUCAUAGUUUUCCAUGCAGAAUGAACAUCAAGUUAAUAAAUCAUGACUUCACAUGAACAGAAUUGCAUAUAGUAUUUGAUUAUCUGAACCUUAUUUCUAAAUAACCCAAGAGAUGAAGUGUCUUGUGCCAUUAGCCAUGCAACACACAACCAAUAGCUCAGUUGUUCCUUUAGGAGUGGUCCUAAACCACUUUGAGCUAUAGUGCAAAGAACUAUUCCCCCAAGCCUAAAAUACUCUACAAUCCAUCUAUCCAUCCUCACAUAUCACCCUCUUUUUUGUCUAGAAUCCAAGUUAUAUGCAAAAGGGAGCGGAAAUACGACUUAUUGCUUUUGGUGGCAAGAGUUUUCAAUGUGCAACAGCUGUUUGUGUAAAGGAAUGAGGAAAUCGUGUUUUGCAUGAAAAAUUCUGUAGUAUGUCUUCGUACAAAGCAUGAACAGUUUUAAUCAGAUUCCUUAAUAGCACAGAAUAAAAGAACAAUUAUCUCUUCCAAAUUUUAGAACUAACAGAAUGUUUGCUACCCAAAUAUUUGAAAUAUUAAUCGAUAAUCAGAAUUCAUGGCGAAACAUAGAAUCAACAUUCAAAGCCAAAUUUAUUUGCUGUAAGGAUGCAAGUGUAUGCCCAUUAAAACUAAUAAAAAAAAAUAGAAGCAAGAAAGUAAUAAAAGCAAAUUGAUAGUUAACAUGUGAUGAGUAGAAACAAACAAACAUAGCCACAACAAUAUAUAAAGCAUUUGAGAAAAAAAUUUACUAGUUGUCUCCUCUUUUCAGCAUCCAAUCAGGCACGGCUCCAGUUAGCAUGUUUCCGGUAAAAUACCUACAUAACAUUGAGUUGUCCAACUUUAGUAUUGCUCAAGUAGUUUUCUUCACUAGAGUAACAUCUGAAGCAUGAUAGGAAAAACUUACUAGUAAUUCCCCCUUCAAGGACCAAAAUUAGUUUUCAAUCAAUCAGAAUGAAUUCAUCUGUCAAUUGGCUCUUUAUUCAGAAGGCUUUUAAAGCCAACAUAUGUGAUUUAGUCACUCAAUCAAUUUGAUCCUAGGCUCUAAAAUCUCCUGGUUCAUUUAGGCAAUUAACUUGGUCUUUUAGAUUAACCUUUACUUGUAGCACAUUGGACUUCUUUCUUCAUUUAGACCAUUAAACUCAUCUUUCAGAUUCAGUACUGAAGCCCAACCAAUGUGGUUUAGUCUUAAAAUCAAUUCAACUCCACAUCCUCUAAGCUUUCUUGGUUCAUUUAGGCCAUUAUAUUGGUUUUUCAUUUCAAUCUGUUGAUUAUUAGGUAAUUUCACCCCUUGGAAUCAGCUUGAAUAGUUGUCAAAACCUAAAGAAGAAAUUUUUAUAUGAAAAUACACUGCUUACAUGUAAUCUGCAUUUGAUAGACCGACAAAGCUGCUUGGAAUUUCUCCAGUUAGUUUGUUAAAACUCAGAUCUCUGCAAGAGAAUCAUAAACAGAAUGCAUUAAAAAUUGCUCUACCCCGAAAGAGUCGAACACCUGAGAAUGGAAAAACAAUACCAAGAAACCGAAAUGACAUGCUGAAAUGAAUAAAUAUGAAGUUUAUGGAAUUGUGUAUGCAUCAUAACAAUUUCUUAAUAAGGCAAAUGAUACAAAGUAGGAGCUAUGUCUCAAGCUCCUUCCACCACAUAACCGUUUAUGAUUAGCACUUGUCACUGGAUACUGGCAGCUUAUACAUUGACCAUCUGUUUUUCUUCUUGGCUCAAAAUACUACUCUAGAUGCAUUUCAGAUGGUCUAAAUUAUCUGCGAGUAAAGAUUCCCUUUCCACAUUUUGUCCGAUUAAGAAUCUAGAUCCCAGAAAUUAUGACAACUAAACUCAUAAAGCCAUCCACUUCAGAGAGACAAAAUGGCUAUUUAUCAAUUUUUACUUGAUACGUCAUGAAACAUACAUGCUGAAUAGGCAGGUGCAAAUAGCAAUGUGUGAGCCCAUGCAACAAGCAGGCUCCUACUUAGCAGUGAAUAUGACACUCAAAGAAGCAUUUAUGAAGUUAUAGAAAAGCCAGACUACUAGGAGCCUUCUCGACAUGUCUCCAGGGUCUUAUUUUCUAUCUAUUCAUACAAACAAUGCAAGCUGUAAGCAGCUUAUUCAAAAUCCAAAUUAGUCAAAACACAGAGAUGCGGUGACCACUCAAGGAACAUCACAAGCUAUGCAAGAAGUCAUAACAUGAAACAAUCUCUGAAUUAGUAGAAAAACACGUUUCAAAGAAUCUUAACAAUUAGUCUGCAACAGGUAAAGGGGAAAAGAUACUAAAUAUAUACUGACAGGGUUUUCAAUUUUGUCAUUUCCCCAAGGUAAUCAGGUAGCGGGUCAACAAUAUUGCAACUCCUCAAUAUCCUGCAAUCAAAUCAAAUAUAUAUCACCAAAAAUCUCGAAAAUAUGUUCUAUGUACUGUGUAUUAUCAAGGGCAAUCUACUCACAGUGUUUUCAAGUCUCUCAUAUCACUCAAUGGUGGAAAAGUUGCUUCAGUUCCAUUCAGGUCACUGAUUCUCCUGAACAUAGAAAUUUAAUAAAAAAUAAAAAUAUAAUAAUUUCAAUCCAUAUAAAUUAUCAAAGCUAUGGCAUAGGAGAGCUUUACUCACAAGUCAGUUAUUUUUGUCAAAAGGGCAAUGCCAGAAGGAAUCGGCCCACUGAAACCACUCCCUUGAAUCACUCUGUCGGUAGCAAAUUUCAAUUAGAAUAUGUGAUUAUAAAUGAAAUCAUGCCACUCAUACCAACUCAAACAUCAGAUUCAACAAAGCUCUCACAAUUUUUCAAGUUUUGUCCAGUUCUGUAUAAAAUUGGGUAUCUUUCCUGUGAACUGAUUAUCUCCAACCCGACUGCAUUGAAUUAAAACAAAGAUACAAUAGCCCCAAUCUCAGAAUUCAACCAAAAAAAGAUGCUAAUUUAUGCAUACAAAAACCCGAAAAAAGAAAAGACACUUCAAAAUCUUACAAGUCCUUCAAUGUGGUAAGCCCUGCAAAUGUUUGUGGUAACUCCCCAGUGAAGUUGUUUGAGGUAAGAAGUCUUCAACAACGAAAAACACAACCAAACCAAUAAACCCACCAGCGUUAAUAAUAAAAAAAAACGGUAACACCCAUAAUUGGCAAAAUCUACAAACAAAAGGGUCUUACAUUCUCUCUAUACUGGGCAGAUUCCCAAGCUCCUGAGGAAGAACCCCUGAAAGCUGAUUGAACUCCACGGUUCUACGCAUAUCAAAUCCAAAAUUUUUGCAUCAAAAAAAUAAUUCUUAAAAGAUCACACACUGAAAAGGGAAACAAAUGGGUAAUUAGAAAUUCACAGGUUUGCAAGAGUAGAGAUGUUUCCAAGCUCUUUGGGAAUCGAACCCGUUAAUUGGUUUCCGAUCAGAGAACUGCAACAACACCCACAUACCAAAUUAAAAAAAAAUAAAAAAUGAACUGCUUAAAGGUUCAUAUUGAAUAAGCCAUCAAAAUUUCAACCAUAUAUACAUAGAUGGAGAGAAAGCAUACAUGUUUACUAGUUGCAUUGUACCCCAUUCUGGAGGGAUUGAACCGUUGAGGUAGUUGCGGGUGAAGUCACUGUGACGGAGAUGAAUUACAGUUAAGUUAGUUGAAGUCCUAAAUGGGUAAUUGAAGAAAUGGGUGAUGCCAAAAUUGGCAGAAAAAUUAAGUUAGAGAAAUACUCACAUUUCUUGGAGGUAAGGAAGCUUCACCAGCUCUGGUGGGAGAGAUCCCGGGAGAUUCUGAGUCUUGAGGACUCUACAAAGGAUAAAUACUCACGUUAACGGUUAUUAAUUAACUUAUGAUUGAUUUGUAUAUUUUUUAAUUAUUUUUCAAAUAUUCUAUAAAGAAAAAAAAAUUAGACUAGGUUGUUCCUUACAAAUUUUAAGGAAUAAUACAAGAAAAAGUACAAGAAAUAAAAUUUGGAAGAAAAUAAAAAAUUAAUUUAAAAUUAAUAAAUUAUUUUUAUAUAUUACUUCAAAUUUAUUAAGAUAUUUUACCUCUUUUAUAUAAAAGUUAAAUAAUUUUAAAAUAUAUAAAUUUUUAAUUAAUUUUAGUUAUAUUUAAAUUUUUUUAUACUUUUCAUAAAAAACUAAAUAUAAAAAAUAAAUUUUUUUUUGCAUUUAUUUUCUUUCCUUAGCAUUUUUCUCAUACCAAAUACAUUAAUAUUAACGCAUCUUUAUAUUUUUAAAAAUUAAAAACUAUUUUCAAAUAGAUUCUAAAAUUUUAACUUAGUAGAAAGCUUAACUUGAUCCAAAUACAAUUCAAGAAACUAGAUUCAUGGGGUGUUAUUGUUGUGCAUUUGUAUCGGUGUCAAAACGACCCAAUUUUUGGCUCUGGUGCCAAAGCAUUCCAGAGUGGCCUCCUCAGGAUUCGAACUCAAAACCAAGGCCCUUGUGAUUGCCCUCCUGGUACCAUCUAAGCCAAAAAUUGGGUCGUUUUAGCAUCGAUACAAAUGAGUCAAAAAUCGGGUUGCUUUGACACCGAUACAAAUGCACAACAAAAAGGUUAGCCUUUUUUUGCAACAUUUGGGUGUUGCCACCAUUUGUAUUGGUGCCAAAGUGACCCAGAGUGGCCUCCCUAGGAUUCAAACUCAAAACCAAGGCCUUUGUAGUUGCCCUAAUAAGUUAUGUAUACAUUUUUAAGUUUUAUUAUUUAUAUUAUAAUUUUAUAUGUUUAUAUUUAAAUUUCAUUAUAUCUCACUAUACAUAUUCAAUGGCCUUGAUUUAGACCAGGAUACGUAUAGCUUUGCAUUUCCCGUCCGUAUAUAUCCCCAAGGGCCCAACCUCACUUGGCUGCCGACAUAAAAAAGGUGGGCCCAUUGGACCUCAGUUCCUAAUUGGGCCGCCCACAUGAUAAGAUUCUCCUUUCGAGUUUCGUCCUAAGGCUCCUAAGUCCUAACAUCCCAGAAUGGGAUCAGUCUGAAAUUAUUGGACCUGAAGGCCAAUUUAGAAGUCAAAGUCAACACAACAAAUUGGGCCCACCCACCUAACUCAUUAUUAUAAAUAUAUAAAAUUAUAUUAUGGAAAAAUAAAAUAAAAGAGUACUUAAUAUAAUAAAUCCUUAUGAUAUUCAAAUGUCAAUAUUAAAAUGAAAUUUAUUUAUUCACUAAAUAUGGUCAUUGAUAUUACAACCUUCUUUUUAUAUAAGUUAGGUAAAUUAGGGUGGAGAGUGGAAGCCAACUAUUCCAUAUAAAGUCCUUCAAUAAAAUAUUUCACAUUAAUUUAUUUUCACAUAUAACAUAUUCUAAAAUAAUUGGAAUGUGUUUUGGUAUUAAAAAAAAUGAAAAUAGUAUGAACCAAAAAAUACAUAAAUUAUAUUACAUUAAAGUUAUAUUUGUUUCCCAUAAAAUACUAAGAAAAAAAAAGAGAAUCAAAAUGGUUUUUUAUAUUUGAUUUAACCAUAAAAAAUAUAAAUAAAUAAAUAAAUAUAAUUAAAAUUUAUCAAAAUUUUAUAUAUUUUUAAAUUAUCUAGUUUACAUAUAAUAAAAAGAAAUAAAUAAAAUGAGUUUAAAGAAGUAUGUAAAAAUAAUUUAUUAAAUUAAAAAAAAAAUCUUAACUUUUUAUUUCCUUUUACUUUUUUUCUCAAUUUUGUUUCCUCAAAUUUUUUAAGAACCAAAUAUAGGCUAAAACUUUUGUUUUUUAUUUGAAGUUUUAAUAAACUUUGAAAUAUUUUAUUUCUAUUUUUUGAGUUAUAUGGUUCAAAAUUUAUACAAAUUCAGACGUAUUUAGAUUUCAAAUUGAAAAUAAAAACUUUAUUCAUAAUCCGAUGAUUAUUGUUUGUUUUCUUAAUUGAAUUGUAAUUAAACUGACUCAAUCCUUUUAGUAACUAAAAAAAAUUGAGCAAAUAAAUAGAAGUUUAAUUAACUUACAUGCUAACAACGUGGCAAACAGUGUUGUUGGUGCAGCUACAAGUGACAGCAUUUUCCGACCCCUUCACCGGAUUCUUCGUCGCCCAACCCCACUCGCCGCCGCACGGAUCCGCACUGAAGUUCCAGUCCGUCUUCCCCAGAGUUUUCGCGAUCUCUUCCAGAGCUUCCACUGUAAAGUGUAAUAAUAAUAAGAUUGAUUUUUGAGAGUGUAUAUAUAUAUAGAACUAUGAAAAAUGAGGUAGAAUGAAUGGUAGUAUCACCUUCAUUAUUUGGGAGGAGAGUUGCAGAGAAGGUGAGAGUUGUGAAGAAAGCGAAGGCAAUGAGUAAAGAAGAGAGAAGGCUGUUAAUGGAGGGCAUGGUUUUAGGGUUGUUGCAGAGGAGGAGGGCUUGGGGUUUGGAGGAGCACUAGAUGAUGGAUGAAGAGUGAAUGCAUGAUUUGUGGUAGAGGGUCUUUAUCGUGCACGGGAGGAGAGAGAAAAAGAGAAGACUCAGGGCGAAGACUUCGAUACAUCGUUAUAUCGUACCGUACCAUGGUUAUAUCCGUACCAUGGUUAAUGAUUUUACAUUUGAUUAAUCAAAAAGCUUUUUUUUUUCCGCAAGAUAAAGUUUUUCAAAAAAUAAAUAUUUAAAACUUUUUUCAAAUUCAUAUUUAUACUGAAACAAAAACAUAAGUUCAAUGUCUUGAAAUUUUUAUAUGUGAACUUAUAUAAUCAAUAUGAUAAUAUCAUAAAUUAAUGUUAUUUUAUUUUUUGCAUUGUGAUUCAUAAUGUAGUUGAAUGCAUUAUUACUUGAUUUUUUAUGGAUUCAUCUUAAUUCACUUGACUGACUCAUCAUUAAGUCAAGUGAUCUAAAUUUUAUGUGUGUAAUGUGGUAUAUAUGAAUAUAUUUAUUUAUAUAUAUACAUAAAGGAAAAAGAAAGACUUUUGCUCUGUUUUGUUUUUCUCUUGAGGGCUGAAAGGGCACGUACUGCGAACUCGAGCACACACACGGACUGAAUUUUGGUGUAGAAAGGGAAGAGCUCAUUGAACCUGGAUUUUCACACCAUUAUGAACUGAGCGUAUUAUUUGAUACCAGUGGAACACAAAAAUGACUUUUCAUGUGAUUAAUCAAGGUAAACAUUUCAUCAAUUGCCUUUUUACUGUAUGCUUUAAUGUCAACAUGUGAUAUAUCGUUAUAUUGUACCGUAACCAUGGUUAUAUCGUAUUGUACCAUGGUUAAUGAUUUUACAUUUGAUUAAUCAAAAAGCAUUUUUUCCCCCAAAUUUUAAAGAUAAAGGUUUUAAAAAAAAAAAAAAUUUUAAAAACUUUUUUCAAUUCCACAAGUAUGUCUAGACUUCCAUAUUUAUACUAAAACAAAAACACAAUUUAUUUUCUAUCUUAUCAAGGGUGAUCAAUAUAUAUAUAUAUAUAAACACACGAUAUUUAGUAUAUUCUUUUUAUUUUAAAAUUUUAUAAUUAAUUAUAGUAAUAAAAACUGAUAAAAAGAUAAAAUUUAAUAAUUGUUGGAGACAUUAUCAUUUCAUAUUCUUCAAUUAUUUUACCUUCUAAAGUUAAACCCACUAACAUGAACAGCUCAAUUCAUUUAUAUAUUUCUUGGAUUCACCACUGAAAAUACCCCAAAAAAAAAAAAAAAAAUUCACAAGACAACGGAUUUACAGGCCAUGGAUUGCUGGUGACAGCUCAAGUUUGCUUCAUAGUCAACUCAAUACAAUUUUAUUUUAUUUUUCAAUAUAAUAUGGCCAUGUGGUGAAUAUCCUAUGCAGCAAGAAGUUGGUUCUCAUUUUCUAAGACUUUCUCACCAGCCAAACAUUGUGUAAUAUCAAAGGUAUGAAUAAAAAGAAUUUUCUUCUUUCUGAGUUUUUUUUAAAUCCAAGUUGAGGAAGUUGACUUGGGGAAUAAUACCAAGUUGCAAUGCCGUAGCAAAGAAGAUAACAAUUUUGAAAUUAUCGUCUCCUUCAAGUCUUUGUCACCACCAAACCUAUGGAUUUUCAGAUAAAGUUCUGUACUUAUUGAUUAAGUUAAGUCAUGUUGACAAAUUAGUGGUCAUCAAGUACAAGUUCCUUACACUUUCAUAUAGGUUUGUACUUUUUUUUUCUUUCUAAUAAUUAAAAUUAAUUUUUGGAUCAUGGGAAAUUAAAUGGAGGAAAAGGACCAAAAGGCCAAAAAUAAUUUAAAUUUUUUUAUUUAAUUUAUUGUUAAAAAUAUGAAAAAAAAAUCAAAUAAAAUAAUAAAUAGUUAUAUUUUCAAGUACUACAUUUAAAAAGUAUAUGAAAACUUUAAUUUUAUCAUAAGAAAAUGUUAUUUAUUUUAAUUUUUAAGGUGGUAUUUAUAUAUUAGGAAAUCUUUUUCCUUUUUUCUUUUUAAUAAUAUUUAAAACAAGUCCUCUAAAAUCUAGAUUUUUUUCUUUCAUAAAAUUGGAGUGGGUGUAUAAUAUCAUCUUUCCAUGAAAAGGGAUUCAAAGAAGGUGUGUGAACUUUUGUAUUUUAGCUUAAUAGAAUGAAGCAGCCACCCUUUGUUGACGAAGCUAAAUCUUUCUAUUGUAGGCUUCUAGCUAUACAUUAAAAUAUAUAUAUACAUAUAUAAAAGAGAAAAAGUAAUCAAGGGUAAAAAAUGUGUUUAAAAAAUAUUUUUUUUAUUUAAUCAAUUAUAUUACAUUAAAUAUUAAUAUAAUGUAAUAUAUUUAACUAUAUGUUAUAUAAUUAUAAGCUGUUGUGGCUCACUCGGAAGUUUAUGAUAGACUUAUUUACUUAAUAUGACUUAAUAGUUUAAUUUAAAUUAUUAAAUAUAUUAAGUAUAUUAGAAUAAUAGUUUGAUAUCUCCUUCUAACUUGUUUUCAAACUAAGAAACAUAUCCAUUAAUCCAAAAGUCUCUUUGACGAACAAUCUUCAAUGCUUUUAUACAUUUAUAAUACCUGAGGUGUUGUCUAAAUAUAAUUUUACUGAAAAUUAUGACUUUGACUUUAUCUUCGAUUAAAAAACUAUCUCAACUAGGUUAAGAAAAGAGCAUCAAAGCCACAAAAUCUGUAGAGAAACUAAAGAUGCCAAAAACCGAUAAAUGAGCACAAAUGCUUCAUAGAUUGAUGAACAAGCCUUUCUUUCAUACACAACUCAGAAACAUAUAUCCCAAACAUACAUCUUUGAUAAAAUUGAUAACUUUUUUCUGUAAAACCGUAUGGAUUACAGGACAUGAAAAUAUUUACAAAUUCAAAGAAAUACUAUCCACCCACCUACAUAAAUGGUGUCAAAGAAGAACAUAAAGAAGAAUUGAAAACCAACAUUUAAUCUCUGUUCUCCCAAUAUUCAAAAUCCAAGGUGACUGGGUAGAGAUCAGGGAUGGAUAAAGAAGCAGUCCAUGGCCUGUCUGGCAUGCUCUCGCUCACACCCAUGAUCUUUUCUUGGGUGUAGUAAUAAUGCUCCUUCAUCUCCUCGAGCUUUAAGUCAUCACUAGGAACACUGGGAUCAGAAACAAUGUCCUGAACAGUGGUUCUGCCUUCAAGCAUGCUCACAACUGAUGACAUAGCUGGCCUGACUGCUGGAGAGACCUUUGUGCUCAAGAGAGCUAUGUUGAUCAUCGCCAAGACCUCUUCCUUGUUGAAGUCUGAGCCCAAUCUGGGGUCAACUAGAUCCAUCAAAUUCCCCUCCCCUUUUAAUGAGAGUGCCUAGAAAUUAAGAAAGAAAAAGAGAGCUUGUGUUUAAAUCAAGCCAUAUGGACUCAGGUGGUAAGACUCUAUUUGUUUCAACAUAUGCUGAAUGAAGCCAUGGAAAUGUCACAACCACAUUGAAUGAGUUUAAUAUUUGGUAUGUGAUGAAUGGAAUGUGCCCAGCUAGCCUGCUACCCAGAAAGAGGCAUGCUAAUAUAGGGGUUUGCUCACAGUGAUCAAGGAAGGUCCCAAUGACGUCUUAUUGCUAAUACAGUAAUAUCACACAAUUUGUAUAAUUGAAGUCAUUCAGGAUGGGAGCAUAUACUACCUGCUUCUUCGUUUAAGGUUGAAAAGGAAGCAAUGCAUGUAAGUAUUAGUAGUAUUGGGGCAAUUUCGAUUUGUCUGAGAAAAUUUUUGAUCAAGAGAGUCUAUUUGAUUCAUAUAGCAUCAUGAACUAGGAAAAUGGUCCAAGGGAUGCCAUGAAUCAGAAUAUAACUUCAGCCCAAGAUAGGAAAAUGUAGUUGCCAUGAUGUGGUGACUAUAUUUUUAUAUAUAUAAUUCAAGAGCCAUGGUUAGGGAUUCAUGAUUCGGAUCCUAUUCACUUCCACAUUGAUCAGGCUGGGAAAGCAGCCAGUCCUUGGUCGGUUCUAGUUAAGUUGCUUUACUCAACAGAUUGGCAAAAACAGCAGCAUGACCCGCGACUGUUAUGUGGAACUGCCCAUUUCAAAAUGAGGUUAAAGCAUGUCUUUUGGCUAUAGGAAGUGUUAGACAGAACUAGUGUGAGGGGAUAAAUUUAUUCUCUGGGUUCUCAACAGGUUUUACAGCUUGUAGUUUGAAUGAUGAAGCCAUUCAUCCUUGACGAUGCUUCCCGACACAAAUAACAAAUCAUGCUGUUAAGAAUGAGAAAAUUCAGAGAUGACAUAUGCAAGAAAGAAUGUUGUCGAAAUUACCCAAUCAAGAAGAUAGAUGCAUUCCUCUUUUGGCCUAUAAGUAGUGUUUCUUCUUCCACUGACAAUUUCCAAGGCAACAAUUCCAAAACUGUAAACAUCUGCUUUGUCAGUUAAAUAGCCCCGAAAUGCAUAUUCAGGUGCCAUAUAUCCACAGCAAAAUGAGGGUAUGAUUUUACACAAAUUUUCCAUUUGCAUGAAGGAUCAACACUGGUGAUCAAAAGCAAAAAUUUCUAGGAUGUGGUUUCCAAAGUGAUAUCAGUAUCACUGCUUCCUAUUUGAGCUAAACGGAAAGAUAAAUAAUGAUACUGAAAUUAUCACAGCCAUAAAGAUCUGGAUUACCUGAAUUCUGAAAGAGUAAGAAACCAUUGACAUCCAUUCAAAAGAAAGAAAAAGCCCAUUAACUAAAAAUCAGGAGACAGUGACUCACAAUGCACCAGCAUUCCGGGUGCUAAUGUGGGUGUUAUCCUCUUCAUCAAGUUUGGCCAAACCAAAGUCAGAUAUUUUGGGGUUAAGAUUCUUAUCAAGCAGCACAUUUGUGGCCUUGAUGUCUAGGUGGAUGAUCUUCAGCCUUGAUUCUUCAUGAAGAUAAGCCAACACUCUUGCUAUGCCAACACAGAUCCUGUGCCUAGUUGGCCAAUCCAAUUGUAAUUGACAUUCUUCGGGGCCUAAAUCAUCAUAUCAACCAAAAGUUAGAUGUAAGAAGCACUCAAAUCACACAAGUUCAUAUACAUGUAGUUUUAUAGCAGAAGCAAUUGAGCAAGGCACGUAAGCAGAUGUGAAAAAAACAGACCAAACAAAGCACGAGCGAGGCUGUUAUUCUCCAUUUACUCAUAUAUCAGCAACAACUGAUUUCCUUCUAUACAACAGCCAUAGAGCUUCACAAGAUGAGGAUGUUGAAGAGCAGAAAUCAUGCCUAUCUCAUUCACAAACUCACGGUUUCCUUGUUUUGACUUGGAAGAAAGCUGCUUCACUGCAAUUACGGUGCCAUCCGAUAAGAGGCCCUGCAUUUGAGAAAUAGUGUCUUCACUUCAGUAUAAAGUUUUAUGAUAACAAACUGCUUAAUGAACAGCUUAAAUGCAUAAAAUGAGGGAAAACUAAUUAUUGUGCUGAAUACCUUGUAAAUAGAACCAAAUCCAACUUCUCCAAUUUUGUUGGCAGCAUCCAAGUUGUUUGUGGCAGCCUUAAUUUGCCUUAGGGUAAACAAACCAGUGUGCUGAUCUAGACCCUUUAAAUCUGUAGAAGAAGCCAAGUUAGAUAAGAAAUAUAUCUAAAAAAAACUUGCAAUUAUUUCUACAUUCCUAAUAGUUUUAGAAGGAUUUUGAUGGAUUAUAACUGUAUCUUCUGUAGGGACCCCUCCCCCUGAUGACACGUGGCACAUACUUCCUGGUGACACAUGACACGUAUUCUCAUCCGGAUUACCCAAUCCGGAUUUCCCCAAGAGUACAUGUGGCGCGCUUCUCCUAUCCGGACUUCCUCAUGGUGAAGCACACGACACUCGCAAAUAUCACAUCCGGACGACUGACAUAUCCUAUCCGGGUAUGUUUGUCCGGAUCAUUGACUGAAGUAAGCAAGUCUUGCACGUCUUCACAACAGCCUGCCAUGACCCACGUUCCGCUACCUGCAGAGUGAAAGGACAAGAAUGAAGUGACGGCAAGUCACUUCCCAUGAUCUAUGACAGCCGCCGCGCUUCCCACAAUCUCUGUCAGCCGCUCGUAGGGUGAUGAUGGUCUUGCCACCACCUAGUGGCAUCAUGAUAAGCCAAAAUAUCUCUCUACCAUUAAAGAGGGAAACAAAGCUUCUGGUACUAUAUGUAUGAACCUUCACAUAAAAAGAAAGGUAAGCUUGCGAUACUUAGUAAAAGACCAACUGGUUUAUCUUUCUUUCCAUGGCUGACAAAACCGUCGGAGGGUGUGUCCGGACACCCUGUCCGGACGCCUUUUGCAGGAACGACUGAACCAGGAACUUAUAUUGGUUGAGAUCGUGCGUCCGUCCAUUUGGCAACUACGUGGAUCACCAGGGACGUGAGGCCUCAACAUCUUCUACAUCCAGAGAAAUCAACCCUGAUCAGAUACCAUGUUUUAGCAUGAAUGCCAGCAACCCAAUCCAUUGCUACAACAUCAACAAUGAAAUGUUUUGAUAUACAACAUUUUUCAUAAUCAAUACCUUGUUCCAAUGUAUCUUUGCGCCUUAGGCAGCCUCUCCACCAAAGGAUACCGAUAACCAGGAAGAUAAGAAGAAUGACUCCAGCCACAAUGCCAACCACAACGCUCACAGAUAUACUAGUACUGCCAUUUCUGGAAGGAGGUAUAAAAUCUGCAAUAAGAAAACAGGGUUAGAACAGAUACGCAGAUGGAAUGGAAGCUUUUAGGCAAAUGAUGGCACAAAGAAAAACAAAAUCGAACCAUUAGUAAUGCUGCAACAAGAGACUAAUCACAAAAAAUAUUUUAUCAACAUUAUUCUUCAGAGUCAAAGUCAAAUAAACAUGAAAAGAUGCUCAAACUGUUGGCAAAUUUCAGAAGAGCAACACAUAAAGAGCGAUGAAAUUUCCAAUGAUAUAGGUAGCAUCAAAGAAGAAUCAUUUGAGAUUCCAUAUAUAUUAAAACAGAGUUGUGCCAAACCCUUCAAAAAAUAAUGAAUCAUGUCCAUGUUGGUUCCAAGUGCCCUAAAGAAAAGAGGAGUUGCGCAGACUGAACCAAGUCACUAAACUAAAAAAAUGUGUAAUUUGAGAAGUAGAAGAACAAUACCCUUUUGCAUACCAACUAUUCAAAAUUGUUGAACUACCAAUUUUCCUAAAUGUUUAAGCUUAAGCUCCCUCAUGUGUGGUCCCAUGCCCACAGGUGGAGGAACAAACAAAAUCUGGAUUCAUAUCCCAAUAGACAAAGAUAGACAAAAUUUGGAUUCAAACAAACAAAGGAAAUGCAAUCUGAUACUCUAAUUAUUAAAAAGCUACUAAAAAAACAUAGACAACAAUAAUGAAUAAAAAGUAAAAGUAGUUCGGAGUUAUUACCAUUUAAUGAUAUUUAUAUAAGUAAUAAUUUGAGUUUAAUAAAUAUUAUUUUUACGUUAGAAUACAUGAAAUUCGAAUGAUUUUUUUAGAGGGUUUUUUUAUUAUUAUUAUUAUUUAAAAGUGUGGACUAAACAUGCUAUUUCCAUAAAAUAUAAAUGGGUUUUCUUUGAAAAGGAUUUAUUCUUUCAAAGUGAAAAUUAGUUUGCAUUUUGUGAGAAAUAUUCCUUGAAAAUGCCUAUAAAUCCAUUCACUCCACACUGAACCAGGUAUUGCACGCACCACGAGGAACCAAGAACCAUACCAACACACAAAUCAUAGAGAGGAGGAACCAAUACACAACUCAUGGAGAGAGAGAGAGAGAGAGAGAGAGGAUUUACCUCUGCAAAGCACAGCCCUGGGGCUGCCAUCUGAACUUGAGAUGCAAAUCAUCCAUACGCACAUUCCUCUGGCAAUUGAACUCCCUCUCUAUGAAUGGGCAUUCCUCCGCCUUGUACAGAGGAUAUGUCUCAUCCCUAACCCAUAUCCCUUGAAAAAAAUCACACUUCUCCCCACUCCCAACCGCAUUUCCAAUACAGACAACAACAACAACAAAAAUGAACAAAACACCCUGAACCCAUGAACCCAUUUCUCAAUCUCAAGCUCCCCAAGAGAGAGAAACAGAGAUGGGUUUUGUGUGGAAUUCUACUCUAGUAAAGACCCAUUUCCCAUGUCUCAAGAUUUCUAUUUAAUAUAUAGACAAAAGAAGGAGGAUGUAGAAAGAGAGUAAUGUUUCAUUGUGGGUAAAUGAGGAAGUGAUUUGUCUCUGUUUUUCAAAAUAGGAAAGGAGAACUUUGGGUGUGUUGUCAUGUAUGGUCACAAUGGUGUGAUAAUAUAUUAAUAUGUACAGGAGAUGCCCUGGAUAAUAAGGUAUCAUGUGGACUUUUGACCAAAACUCAGCCAAUGAGAGGCCCUUGGUUGGUUUGGUUUUCUCCAUGGGAUAACUACUUUUUCUUUCUUUUUUCAUUUUUGGAUUUCUUAAAUUUUUUAAUUCACGUAACUAUGAGUCCUUCGAUAGUGUCAAAUUGAUACCUACCAAAAAUUAAACCAAUCUUAAUAUACCACUUUUAUAAUUUUAUCUCAGAAUUUUGUAAUUCACUUACAUUUCGUUUAUUUGUAAUCAGUCUCAUACUCAUUUGCUCCAUUAAUGGCUUCUAGGUCCAUGCUUGUCUUCUUCCUCUUGUUCAACCACUUAUGUCAUCUUUCUUCCUUUAACUAUGUUUUUUAUUUUUUUUAUUUUUAUUUUAUUGAAUUUGAAUUAAAGUGGGGAAGAAGAUGGGAUAAUUUAUUUAUUUUUUAACUUCACAGACCUAUUUUAUUAAAAAUUUAAAAAGAAAAUUGUAAAAACUUAAAGAUUUGUCCAAAUGGAAUUUACUCAUUUGAUUCUCUUUUUAAAUAUUUAUGCCAAAAAAGGGUUUCUAACUCUAGACAAAAUUAUCCUACUUCUAAGCCUUAUAAAAACAAUUAGAGAGAGAGAGAGAGAGAGAGAGUUUUUUUAUUUUAUUUUAUUUAUCUACUCGAUAAUGAUUUGUCAUAUUAUUAGAUGAUACAAAUUGAAUAUAAAAAAAAGAGAAGUACAAUUUGCCUUAAUUGAAAAGUUUUUUGGUUGACUAUCCUAAUCUAUGGUUUGGAGGCAUCGAUGAAGGAUUAAUGGCUCUAUCACUAAAUUCAAUAGAUGGAAUGGAUAAACGAUUUUUUUAUUAUUAUUAUUAAUUAACCAUGAUUCUGCCAUGGUUGGUAGUUUGUCUAUUCUUUUUAUAUGAAGUGUAAAUAAGUUUCAAUUUGUCUAAAAUUUAAAUAAAAAUUGAUGUAAAAUAGUAAAAGCAUCAUCCAAAUCUUAAAUUUCAAAGAAAAGUUAAAACCUUAUCAGACUAUCAAUUUGGAUUGCCUCGUGUUUUCAAUAUAUAAAAACCUUGUUUGAUAGUCAUGAGUGUAAUCAUGUCCCAAAAUAGUUUUAGAGUUGUAUUAAGAAUAUGUUUUGCAGUGAUUUUAGAAAGCGUUUAUAACAUUUCUAACAUUUAAAUGAUAAAAAUUUUCAAGUAUUAAAAAUAUCAAAAGCGCUUCCUAAAAUCAUUAUCAAACGAACUCUAAAACACUAUUAUUGUUUUCAUCAUUUUUUCAAUUUUGUUUUCCAAAACUUGUAUACAUAUUUUUAAUAAAUCCAAUUAGAUAAGAGCAUAUGUUUUCAAAUAUUUACAUUAUUUUUACAUUCAAAUACAAGUUUUGAAAGUCGUUCUUUUGGUCUAAUUAAUUGUUCAUGCAUAGCAAGACUAAGUUCCUGUUUGGAUUUGCUUCCAACUAGCCCAAUCAGGUUGAACAUUCAAGAGGAAGAAUGAAUUGGGUAUCAGUCAAUUUUUCUACUAGACUAGAUAAUUGAUAAAAUUAAAGAUUAAAAUAAAUGUCAGACAACAAUUGGAAUAAAAUACGAGUAAAAAUGAAAUAUUCACUCGUUCUAACUUCUUUCUGAGCUUAGAAAUAUAUCCAUUAAUCCAAAAGUCCCUUUGACCAACACUCUUUGAUGAAUGAACACAAAAGCUUCACAGUUUGAUGAACAAGCCUUUCUUUCAUACACAACUUAAACAUAUUUCCCAAACAUACAUUGUUUAUCAAAUUGAAAACUUUUGUCUGUAAAACCUAUGGAUUACAGGACAUGAAAAUAUUUAUACAAAUUCAAAGAAAUGCUAUGCACCAGCCUUCAUAAAUGGUGUCAAAGAAGAACACAAAGAAGAAUUGAAAGCCAACAUUUAAUCUCUCUUCUCCCAAUAUUCAGAAUCCAAGGUGACUGGGUAGAGGUCAGUGAUGGAUGAAGAAGCAGUCCAUGGCCCGUCUGGCAUGCUCUGAGCCUUGCUCUCGCUCACAUCCAUGCUCUUUUCUUGGAUGUGGCGAUAAUGCUCCUUCAUCUCCUUGAGCUUUAAGUCAUCACUAGGAGCACUGGGAUCAGAAACAAUGUCCUGAACAGCAGUUAUGCCUUCAAGCAUGCUCACAACUGAUGACAUAGCUGGCCUGACUGCUGAAGAGAUGUUCGUGCACAAGAGAGCUAUGUUGAGCAUUGCCAUGACCUCUUCCUUGUUGAAGUCUGAGCCCAAUCUGGGGUCGACUAGAUCCAUUAAGUUCCCCUUCUCUUUUAAAGAGAGUGCCUAGAAGUUGAGAAAGAAAGAAAAUCCAAUAAGAGAAUUGCUUGUGUUUAACUCAAGCAAUAGGGACUCAGGCUGCAAGACUAUUUGUUUCAACAUAUGCUGAAUGCAGCCAUGGAAAUGUCACAACCACAUUGAAUGAGAUCAAAAUUUGAUAUGUAAUGAAUGGAAUAUGCCCAGCUAGCCUGCUACCCAGAAAGAGGCAUGCUAAUAUAGGAGUUUCAUCAGAGUGGUCCAGGCAGGUCCUGGAUAAUGUCUUAUUACUAAUACGGUAAUACCACACAAUAUAAUUGAAGUCAUUCAGGAAGAAAGCAUAUACUACCUGCUUCUUCAUUUAAGGUUGAAAAGGAAGCAAUACAUGUAAGUAUUAGUAGUAUUGGGGCAAUUUCGGUUUGUCUGAGCAAAUUUUUGUUCUUGAGAGCCUAUUUAAUCCAUAUAGAGUCAUCAUCUAGGAAAAUGGUCCAAAGGAUGCCAUGAAUCAGAAUAUAACUUCGGCCCAAGAUAGGAAAAUGUAGUUGCCAUGAUGUGAUGACUAUAUAUUUUUAUAUAUAUAAUUCAAGCCAUGGUUAGGGGUUCAUGAUUCGGAUCCUAUUCACUUCCACUUUGAUCAGGCUGGGAAAGCAGCUAGUCCUUGGUCGGAUCUAGUUAAGUUGCUUUACUCAGCAGAUCUGCUAAAACAGCAGCAUGACCUGCUACUGUUAUGCAGAACUGCCCAUUUCAAAAUGAGGUUAAAGCAUGUCUUUUGGCUGUAGGAAGUGUUGGACAGAACCAGUGUGAGGGGAUAAAUUUAUACUCUGGGUUCUCAACAGGUUUUACAGCUUGUAGUUUGAAUGAUGAAGCCAUCCAUCCUUGAAGAUGCUUCCCGACACAAAUAACAAACCAUGCUGUUAAAAUUAUGCAAUCAGCCUAAAUGGAUAAGAAUGAGAAAAUUCAGAGACGACAAAUGCAAGAAAGAA